AUUGAACGCUGGCGGCAGGCCUAACACAUGCAAGUCGGGCGGUAACAGGAGAAAGCUUGCUUUCUUGCUGACGAGCGGCGGACGGGUGAGUAAUGUAUGGGGAUCUGCCCGAUAGAGGGGGAUAACUACUGGAAACGGUGGCUAAUACCGCAUGACGUCUACGGACCAAAGCAGGGGCUCUUCGGACCUUGCGCUAUCGGAUGAACCCAUAUGGGAUUAGCUAGUAGGUGGGGUAAAGGCUCACCUAGGCGACGAUCUCUAGCUGGUCUGAGAGGAUGAUCAGCCACACUGGGACUGAGACACGGCCCAGACUCCUACGGGAGGCAGCAGUGGGGAAUAUUGCACAAUGGGCGCAAGCCUGAUGCAGCCAUGCCGCGUGUAUGAAGAAGGCCUUAGGGUUGUAAAGUACUUUCAGCGGGGAGGAAGGUGUUAAGAUUAAUACUCUUAGCAAUUGACGUUACCCGCAGAAGAAGCACCGGCUAACUCCGUGCCAGCCGCCGCCGUAACAC
rnacentral:rRNA from 1 species